GAUGAAGCAACGAGAAAAACGAGGAUGGUCAAAGAAAGAACAGCUUCGCCUAAAGGACGAAAAGAAGCAACAAAUAGAGAAAUUGCAAAAGGCAGACCGAAAGGUUGAAUUUACAGAGAAGAAAAUGCUAGAAAAGCAAAAUUUUGCGCCUACGGAAUGAUGUAUGGAGUAAUCAGACCCCCAUGUCCUACUUACAACUCUAUUGUUACUUUAGAAGAAACAAAAUUGAGUUGUUCUGAGGCGAUGCGAUUGAGUACUACAUGCGACGUAAGUUGGUGUCGUUUCAGGCAUGCCCCAACUCCUUGGGUAGUUACACCGCAAGUGACAAAUGCAAAGUUGAAAGAGUUAGAGAAGAUGCUACAUGAAUUAAGAGUUCACAAGCAGAUGAUAUUAAAUUCAAUCUAGGAUGAUGACUUCUUCAGGGACGAAGUGUAUCUUGAUGACGAGAAAAUUCCAUACAUCUAUUUCUUAGUCAUCUCUGAGAAUCUUGUUGCUGAUAGGUAUAUAGUUGGUCAAAUUAGACCACACGAUUCAAGAAGAUGGAGCAAUUGGUACUGCGAUUCAAAGAGCUGGAACAAUUGGUACUGUGUUAAGGCUCUUUAAGCUUGAGUUUUAUGAUUUAACUGGGAACACAUGGGAUUGAUGGUGUAAAGGAAAGUUUGUUAAAUUGGAUAGGAAGAUGUUCCCGUUGAAGAUAGUAAGUUCUAUUGUGCAGUAUAUCUAGCAUUUGUAUUGCUUAACUUCUUUUCAUGUAAAGAAGUUAAUUUUGUUUUUUUUGAAGAAUUAUCGAAGUGAACUAGAUUACUUUAAGAUUGAGGAGGUUGAAGACAUCCAAGAACAACUUCUUGUUAACAUGGAAUAUUUAAGGUAAACCAUCUGUCUAUUUGUUUUUAAUUGUUUAUUAUAUUAGUAUAUUAUUAAAACUUUUGUUCGUACAAGAUCCUUAUAAAAAAAUUGUCGUUCCUACAGGAUAAACGAUAAUUUGAUCUGUAAAAGGUUAAUCGAGGCAGCUAAGGAUAUAACUCUACAUAAAAUAUAUUGCGGUAUAUAUUUGUAUAUAGUCUGCAAAAAUUGCUAGGAAGAAUUUAAACAUUGCUUUUCAUGUUGCAGAUCGUAUUCUAGAUGCAGGUAUAAAACGUUCACCGAUGAUGGCUGAGAUAUCGUAUCAUCAAAAGUAUUUGUUGAUUUAUCCAGUUAUUAAUGACGUUCCAGACUUCAACUUGUUAAGCAGGGUUUCGUGGUUGAUUACUCCACAAGCUGAUAUUACUAUACAAUAGACCUCUAUCAUUCAUCAGUACUAAGAAAAUCACACCUAUAUAUUUUGGAUUCAUUCUUCGAGGUGCUUAAUCAAAUGACAAACCAUCAUUUAAAACUUCAGUUGAUUGGCUAUGGUUUCCAAAGCGUCGUGCAAUUAAUAUAAUCAUUUGGUGUCUGAUACUCUUGGCGCUAUUGGUAUAUUCACUAUCUUAUUAAUUUCUAACAUUGAUUCUAAAGAAACAUUUCUUAAGCUCCAACAGGUUCUGAAAUUAUGACAUUUGCUCUUUAGAUGCAGAGAACUAGGUAAUGUAUCUAUUUUGAUAAUCUGUCUAUUUUAUCUUUUUAGAUAUUUCUUAUUAUAAUCCUUGUAUUUUGUGAAUUUUCUAUUAUUUGAUUUUAGGUGCAUCAUUCUUAUGUAGAUCAUCCGAUUGUUAUUUGUCAAUACUCUUGAGAAAAUUUACAACUAAUACUAAACAUGGGUCGGGUGUUUUAAUUGGUGCAAUUUUGUCAUGAACCUUGUUCAAUGUAUUAUGUUUUUCUAUUUGAUAAGUGUUGUAAAGAUUACUCUGCACCGUGAACCUUGAUUUAGUGCAUUAUAUUUUUUUAAUUUGAUAACUUUGGUGCAGAUUAUUAUACUCUGCACCAUCGAUGUAGUGGUUCCAUGUCAGGAUGAGAACAAGCCCAAGACGAUCCACGAAAAUUAGAGGAAAUAUCUCCUAUCGGCUUUAGGAAAUGGACUGGGAUAGAUAUAGUUUCAUAAGUUUCUAUCAGUACCUUGAUUGUGUGGUAUAAAUGAUUUGCGUUUUGUUUAGACAUAAACUGAACUUUGUUAAAUUUAAAAACCAAAAAAUAGUGUGGCAAGGUAUAAAAGUAUUUAACACAAUCUUGCGAAAGUGAAAAUUGCAGCGCAUAGGGAGAGGUGGAGGGAAGAAAGAGAUUGUGGUAGGGAGUCGAUCCGUAGGGGAGAAAGAGCAGGGAUAAGGGGAGGAUGCAGUUUGGCAAAGAGGGUUUGGGCAAGUAGAGAAACUCAAACGUUAGAAGUAGGAAAUUCUGGCGGGUGAUAGCAUGCUACUCAAGUUAAGUGGCCAUAGGUAAUUUCUCGAGGCACCUGUUUGUUCAUGCGUUCGGGGUUGUAUUUACAUAUAACUACAUACAUUGUAAAAUGUUCCUAUAAAGGAUCAACAGACAAUGUUGUGAUAAGUAAAAUUUGAAAAUAAAGGAAUGUACUGCAUAGCCAGACCUGUAGAUGAAUGAGGAGUAGGUGCAACACAUGAGAUGCUUCCCCUUAGUCAUUAUGUGCAUUCUGUGGAAGGAAAGAAAUAAGAAAGUUUUUGAUGGAUUAGAGAAUGACUUUGUACUAGUUUAUUUUUAUUUAAUUUCUGAUCACUGAUGAGGUCCUUGUUUUGUCAUUUUAUCUAUUUAAUUAUAUUUUUGAAAAAUAGAAUCAACAACUUCUUCUUCCAUACUGAUGUGGCGUGAUUUUAUGCCACUAUCGAUGCUUUUUAACUAUAAGUUUUACUUGUUUUUAAGCAAGUCUAUGUCAUUUUACGUAGUUUUUGUCAUGUUUCAGGUAAUACGAGGUCCCUAGAGCCUAAGUAUGGAAAACAAGCAAAAAAGUUGCAAAAACUGGAAAUAACUGGAGGUUCUGGAAAUUAUUGGCGAAAUAUUGCUCUGCGCGGUCGCGUAGUAAGUUCACGCGUUCGCGGUCACGCGCGUCCGUGACUCUGCGCGAACGCGCAGUAAGUUCACGCGUUCGCGGUCACGCGCGUUCGUGACUCUGCGCGAUCGCGAUACUUCUUCACGCGUUCGCGAUACAUAAACGAAGCAAUUUCACGCGAUCGCGCAGUGACGUGGCGCGAUCGCACUGAAGGUUUUUCGGGAAUUUUCAACCAGAACCUGGGAUUUGACGAUUUCUUCCAUUCCAGUUCAUAUAAAUAGAAAAUUAGGGCAAAACAUCAGAUAUCUUUGGCAGCUCCCACAAGUUGGAAGCUAGGGUUCCUACAAAAAUUGUUCUUUCUUCUUUUUAAUCCUUGUUGAUGGAAAUCUCUUGG